rnacentral:lncRNA from 1 species
AUUUGAGAGAGAGAUGGAGGAUGGAGUUAGGAGUUUUAUUUGUUCACAUUUCUAAAUCUUCUUCAAAUUGUUUUUUUGGUUGGGUUUUUUUUUUUUAUUUUGUUUUUUUGUUUGUUUUGUUUUGUUUUUUUUUGUAUCAUGCUGCAUGCAAGGCCUGGCUGAAAUUUUGACUCCCAUUUUCUCAAUGUCUUUUUUAUUGUUUUGCUGCUCAGAUUUCUACCUCUCUCCCCCCUCAUGAGGGAAAAUCCAUAGACAUAUACCAAACAACAAGGAGAAGUUAGAUUCCAACCUUUGUGAAAACCCAAACUGUACAUCCUAGCCUUUGCAACAGCUGCUUUUUUGGCAACCAGUUUCACAAAGGCAUUUAAUGACUCCUUAUGGCAGCUCCUUCUUUAUGGAAUUAAUUCAGAUUAACCCCCAGGAUAAUGGCAUUUACUAAAAAUAAAUUAAUAAAUAGCAUCAUUAUUCUAUUUUUGUAUUUGCAAGAACCAGAGGCUGACUCUCAUUUUGGUCAAAAUCAUAAAAAUUCUCCUGACAUCAAAGGAACUACCUUCAAGUCAAAGUGCUGUAAGCCAAUAAAAAUUUGGCCAGGCCAUUUCUUAUUGUAUGGGAAACAUUUAUUGUGAUUAAGGCUGUAAAAAUGAAGCACCCACAGCCCCUUCCUUGCAUUCAGCAGUCAGCCUCAGCAUUGCUGCAUCUAAGGCCAGGGUGCACAAAGGCAUGACUAACACCUAUUAUAUAUCCACUUAUUCCUCUCCUUCCCAGGCAGUAAUCAUGUGCAACAGCCAAUGGAGUAUUCAGAAUACACCUAUGUGCUUAUGCUGCUCAAGGACAGCAGAUUCCUUUCAUUUUCAUCUACAAUGGAACACUUCAGUACAAUGGGCUGUGAAGACAAUUUUUGAUGCUGACUCCUCUGCAUUCUGGCUUCAUUUGUGGAGGUACACAAGCAGCCACAAUAACAGCCUCAAACAUGACUUUCAAAACACACUGCUUCUGUACUUCAAAAGAGAUAUGUCCUCAUUUCUUUCUCAUAUGCCUUUUGUCAAGCCUUUUAUUCUUCACAAAGAAAUACAGAGCUGACCUGAAUAAAACCACUUUUUUUUUUUGACA